rnacentral:rRNA from 1 species
AUUGAACGCUGGCGGCAUGCCUUACACAUGCAAGUCGAACGGCAGCACGGGAGCUUGCUCCUGGUGGCGAGUGGCGAACGGGUGAGUAAUACAUCGGAACGUACCCAGUAGUGGGGGAUAACGCACCGAAAGGUGCGCUAAUACCGCAUACGACCUACGGGUGAAAGCGGGGGACCGUAAGGCCUCGCGCUAUUGGAGCGGCCGAUGUCUGAUUAGCUAGUUGGCGGGGUAAUAUCCCACCAAGGCGACGAUCAGUAGCUGGUCUGGGAGGACGGUCAGCCACACUGGGACUGAGACACGGACCAGACUCCUACGGGAGGCAGUAGUGGGGAAUUUUGGACAAUGGGGGCAACCCUGAUCCAGCAAUGCCGCGUGUGCGAAGAAGGCCUUCGGGUUGUAAAGCACUUUUGUCAGGGAAGAAAUCUUUCAGGCUAAUACCCUUGGAAGGAUGACGGUACCUGAAGAAUGAGCACCGGCUAACUACGUGCCAGCCGCCGCAGUAA